GCGCCCGUAGCUCAACGGAUAGAGCAUCUGACUACGGAUCAGAAGGCUAGGGGUUCGAGUCCCUUCGGGCGCA
rnacentral:tRNA from 1 species